ensembl:lncRNA
GUGAGUGUGUGUGGCUUGGGGGGGGCUCUGGAAAAAAUAUCAACCAAGAUGGCGAAAGGCUUGUUGUUUCGGAAAGCGGGCAGAAAAAUGGAGGAUAUUGUACUACACACAAAGGGACGCGAAGCUCCGCAGCCCGACCGACCGAGCGCAGCUGCGCGCCGCGUUCAGGGGACGCAGCCGCCGGACGCACACGAGGCGCACUACACCCCCACCUGGAGGGUGUCGGGGGGGAAAGGCGAAUGGAUAUUUUUACCCGUCCAACUUAAUCCAGGUCGAAGAAGAGGAUAUUAUUAUUAUUAUUAUUUGUAACUAAUUGUUUUAUUUGCGCAUGGAGGGAACUAUUAACUGGAUGGAUGGUGUCCUGUCUUGUACGGACAGCGAGAGACCAAAGCUGAGCAGUCGCUAUGGAUUCCAAGUCCGGCCGACUCCCCUUCGUGUCGAGCUCCCGCUCGUCCUACACCAGCCCUUCCUCCUACUCAGCCUCCUCUUCCUCGCUGAGCUCCAGCAGGCUGUAUGGGCGAGAGAGGUUGCUGAGUAGUGACCGCUUCCCUCGCUCCACCACAUCGCUCAAGCCAGAGCCGGACCUCAAGGGCUCGCGGUACCUGAGCUCCAGCAGAGAGUAUGGCGGGGGGACCGCCUCCACCCGGGCCCCCAGCUGGAAGGUGCCCUCGUCCCUGAGCGCCACCACCUCGUCGUAUGAGAGGCCCUGGGCCAGCCCCUCGCUCCUCAGCCAGGACAAGCUGAGCUCGGAGCGGCGGCUGGGCUCGUACUCCGGCCUGCUGGCCUCUGACGACGGAGAGUCCAAGCGCGCCAAGCUCUCCUACAGCAGCAGCACUGCAGCGUAUCCCCGGAGCAGCCUGGGCUCCUCCACUACCCCCGGGUCCCUGUACUCCAGCAGCAGGCUGACCAGUAGCACAGAUUCUAGUGACCGGACAGACGCCGCUCUCCGGCGCUCCACUGGUCUCUCCGCUGGCCUCUCCUCCUCCAGACCUUCAUCGACCUCCUCCUCCUCCUCAUCGUGGUCUUCCUCGCCCAGCUACCUGUCGGCCCGGCGGGACGCGGAGAGGAGGGCGGAGCUCCGGUCCGAGCUGACGGACGGAG